rnacentral:rRNA from 1 species
UAAUACGGAGGGUGCAAGCGUUAUCCGGAUUCACUGGGUUUAAAGGGAGCGUAGGUGGGCAGGUAAGUCAGUGGUGAAAUCUCCGGGCUUAACCCGGAAACUGCCAUUGAUACUAUCUGUCUUGAAUAUUCUGGAGGUAAGCGGAAUAUGUCAUGUAGCGGUGAAAUGCUUAGAUAUGACAUAGAACACCAAUUGCGUAGGCAGCUUACUACGGAACUAUUGACACUGAGGCUCGAAAGCGUGGGGAUCAAACAGGAUUAGAUACCCUGGUAGUCCACGCCCUAAACGAUGGAUACUCGACAUCAGCGAUACACUGUUGGUGUCUGAGCGAAAGCAUUAAGUAUCCCACCUGGGAAGUACGACCGCAAGGUUG